rnacentral:rRNA from 1 species
UGGGCAACCUGCCCUCAGCUCUGGGAUAACUCCAAGAAAUUGGGGCUAAUACCGGAUAUGACCGCUGACCGCAUGGUCUGGUGGUGGAAAGUUUUUCGGCUAAGGAUGGGCUCGCGGCCUAUCAGCUUGUUGGUGGGGUAAUGGCCUACCAAGGCGACGACGGGUAGCCGGCCUGAGAGGGUGACCGGCCACACUGGGACUGAGACACGGCCCAGACUCCUACGGGAG